AGCUAAGUACUCGAUUACACAGAGAAGCGGACGGUUGGCUGGAGUAUAAAAGCCAAACCUCCGUGAAUUAUUGCGAGAAUUUUCUGUAUAAAAUUAUUUGUGCUACUAGACUAACCAAGCUUGCAAAUUAUUAUUAAAAAUGUCUGGACGUGACGGUGGUAAAAAGAAAGGAGCUGCUCCAAAGGAAACUGAAGCAAAGAACCAGACUGAGGCCCCUGCUGCAAAAGGUGCAGAUAAAGCUGCUGGUGGAAAGAAAGGUGGCAAAAAGUAAGCAAGGGUCCAGUAUGGUCUUCAUCUCAUCCUGUCCAUAGUUUCUUCAAAUGGUCAUGAUCGUUAUUCUGCAAUCCAAUGUUGUAAAAAAUAUUUGCAAUUGAUAUUAAAUGUUUUUAAUGUAGUUUUA